GAUGAACGCUGGCGGUAUGCUUAACACAUGCAAGUCGAACGGACUCUUCGGAGUUAGUGGCGGACGGGUGAGUAACGCGUGAGAAUCUGGCUUUGGGUUCGGGACAACCACUGGAAACGGUGGCUAAUACCGGAUGUGCCGAGAGGUAAAAAAGAAAUUGCCUGAAGAUGAGCUCGCGUCUGAUUAGCUAGUUGGUGAGGUAAAGGCUCACCAAGGCAGCGAUCAGUAGCUGGUCUGAGAGGAUGACCAGCCACACUGGGACUGAGACACGGCCCAGACUCCUACGGGAGGCAGCAGGGGGGAAUUUUCCGCAAUGGGCGAAAGCCUGACGGAGCAAUACCGCGUGAGGGAAGAAGGCUCUUGGGUUGUAAACCUCUUUUCUUAGGGAAGAACAAAAUGACGGUACCUAAGGAAUCAGCAUCGGCUAACUCCGUG
rnacentral:rRNA from 1 species